UUUCCGUAGGUGAACCUGCGGAAGGAUCAUUAUUGAAUGAAACACUUCUGGCUUUAUGCUGUUGUGCUGGCCCUAUGGGCAAUGUGCACACGGCUCUGGUCACUUGUUUCUUCUGUUCCACCUGUGCACUGCCUGUAGACACGCUGUGUCUAUGAUAUUUGUUAACACACAACAAUGUUAGUUGGCAUGUUAUAUAUAAUAAUAAAAUAUACAACUUUCAACAACGGAUCUCUUGGCUCUC
rnacentral:misc_RNA from 1 species